rnacentral:lncRNA from 1 species
UUUUAUUUCUAGAGAGAGAAAGUAAGGGAAAUAUCUCUUUGGAGUGAGAAAGUAUGUUUUAGAAGAAGGGCUUUGAGCUUGUGGUAAGCUAUGGCAAGUUCCUCUCAUCCUCCGAAGCAAGGUAACAAAUCCAAUUUUUUCUUCGUGCUUUCUUUGAUGCUUUAUCUUCCAUUUCUUGCAUACCCCAUAAUUCUUUAUGCAUGAAUAUUCAUUUCCAUGCAUAGUCUAACUCUUUUAUGCAUUGAUACUUUUGAGCACAGUCUUGACUUUUUAAGCCUGGUUAUACAUCUUUGAGCAUAGUCUUGCAUCCUUGAACAUCCUCUUGUACCUUUGAACAUCUUUUUGGCAUCUUUGAGCAUGGCCAUAUAUAGUUAUACCUUAUUUAGCAUCUUAUUAAGCCUUUGGGCAUCUCUUUGGCAUCGUCUUGAAUUUUCAUGCAUUUCUGAGCAUAGUCUUACAUGUUUUAUCAUAGUCAUGCAUGGUUAUGCAUAAUUAUGCAUUUUUUAGCAAAAUUAUGCAUGGUUAUGCAUUUUGUUUUUAGCAUAGUUAUGCAUAAUUUGACACUUUUGAGCAUCAGUGAGCAUUACUAUGCAUAUUUUGUUAAUUUUUAUGUUAGAAAAGGGGGCUCUUCAGAGUCAUAUUUUCUCGAUGGGUUGACCCAUAGAUUCGUGACUUCUUGAAUCUCUUGGGUAACUUGGAUUAGCCGUGCAGUUUUCAGUACAUCUCCUGCAUACAGAGGAGAUGAUGUCGAAAUUUUAUCCGGUUCCUGAUGCCAUUUACUUUCUCUCUUGAAGUAUGGGUUUUCCUGGGCUUCUUUCCUUGUUCAUGUCUCACUCUUCUCUUGAACUUCUUUCUAUGUAGUGAAAAUUCGUAAUGUGAAGCACCUACCGCGCUCUGAAGAGUUAGGAACUGAUACUUAUACCGGUGUCGCCUUUACCAAGAGUUCAUCAAUUAGAACUCUUAAGCCCAUUUGCGACUUGGAGAGGCCUUUAAGUGUCACCUAUGUGGUGAUGAUGCUGGAUUUUAUCUUUAUGAGACUAAGGAUGGCGAGUUAGUGAUGCAAGACGAUGGCAUGCCAAUAUUCCAUUCUCUUCACCAAAAUAACGAUUCCAACUUAUAGACCUCCCCACUUUAGGGAAGAGAAUGAUGAAGAACAAGGGAUUUCCUUGCUCUGCCCAAGGGCUUCGAUUUUAAGAAGAGAAUCAAUACAUGCGAGGGUAGAGUACUUAGACAUUUGAUGUCCUUCGAUCUCAUUUUAAGGAACUCAAGUCACGUUCUUUGGCCUCGGCUUGCCAAUGCUCGGCUAGCUAUUAUUAUCAAUGGUCCAAUACUAUGAGAGCUUUGUUUGAAACUUGGACCUAUGUGAACAAUAGCUGGCUCCUCGAUCAUGGUAAAGGAGGAAUUUGUCUCCUUGAUAUGCAUUUUACAGGCAGGCUGCCUAUGUUAGGGGAGAUGUAUGAGGAGUUCAUCCCCAGCAACGGGGUGAUUUUUGGCACUCAACUUAUAAAUGGCGAGGCACCUCCCCCUAGUCUUCACGAACUCUUCGAGAUUUAUUAGCCUUUAGUCUCAGAGAGUGAUGAGAACUCGGUAAGCUUUAACGCUUGGCAAGCCUUCUUCCAUGGGAACCACAUGGAUAAAGAAGAGCUCGACUAUAGUGUUAUUAGGGAUGAUGGCACUAAGAAGAAGGAGAAUGAGAGUAAAACGCCUGUGAUUCUUCCCUAAAGGCUUGAGAAGGAUCACGUGAACUUGGUGGCUUAUCAUACUCUUUUCUUGUGUCAGUUCGUUCUUCCUGGCUCAAGAGGCAGUCUGAUCCGGCCUUGAUGUUUCUUUGUGGCUUGUGAGCUCUUACAAGGGCGUCAGUAUGCCCUGGCCCAGCCUGUUCUUUGCACUAUAUAUAUCAUGGCUUAGGAGCAAUUGCUCACGGCAAGCCAGUGAUGGGAGUAGUGAGUCUUUUAAUGGGGAGGUUCUUCCAGGUCGGUUUAUGACAGCAUUCCCCAUCCACUAUGUCUUUGGCUGGUUCUCAGCUUACUUUCCAAGGACUGAUUUUCCUUACUCCCUUGGGGCAUAUAAAUGCAAUGAGAGUCUAUCAGGGCGUACUUGUCCUCAGCUGAUGAGCAUUUCUGGAAAGAGGGCCAUAUUACGAGGCCCUGAUGAGGCACGACGUCUCCUUGCCGACAAUUCCUUCUUUACUCGUGGGAGCCCUUUCCCCAUAGGUGGACCCACUAAUCGUGUCUUUACUGAUGAUGCCUUUGGUGAGAUUUUUUUAUGGGGCCACUAUUGAGACCUAUGCGUCGAUGUACCUCUUGAGUGUCAGGGGGUGUAUCCUGCCUCUCCGAGCUGUUGGUGACAAGAAGCUCGAGGACUAUCAUCCCCACAGAUUUGCACAGUAGCACGGUCUGGACCAGGGGCGCUCCUUGUCUGUGCUCUUCAAGAAGUGAUAUGGGAAGAAGGGUUCCUUGUAGGACAAGCAUGCUUUGGGCGUGAGAUACAAGUCUUGGACAGACAACAACAUGAGUAUGGCCUGGGCGACCUGACUUACUCUUCCUGAGAUGAGUAAGUUUGUUGUUCCCCAUUACAGUCGCAUUGGUCACGCCAUUGAGGGGUAUUGGCAAUGGUGGAAUACCACUAACUGUUUCUAUUGGAAGGAGGAUCAUGCUUGAAAGGCUAUCAAUGUUGCCUUGAAGUGUGACAUGAAACGUGGGAAACGUCUCACCCCUCCCAUCUUCCCUAUUAUUUUUUGGCCUUAUUACCCCAUGAAGUGGAGACAAACCAGUAUCCCUUGAUCGUUAGCUACAGAAAAUGCUUCUAUCCAAUUCCUUUAUAUCAAAGGUGAGAUCAAGUCCCUUUUUUAUGGUCUUUGCUCUAUCUUCCAAUGGAACAAGGGUCAUGAAGUUUCUAGUCGACAAGGGAGACCCAAGCAAGAUCUCAAUGCAUUGAUUGGGAGUGGUGCACACUCACCCCCAGCUGCAAAAACUCAUUAUUGUCAUUGCACCAAGGGUGCCUUUGCUAAGUCAUGGAAUGAAGCGAGGCAACGAAGAAGGGAAAAGAAGGAGGCAUCAGGAAGUUCGGAACCUACUACAACCCCGAAACCUGCGGUUUUCCGAAAGAGUGCUCGAUUGAGCAAAAGGACUUCAAGUCAGGAUGCAUCUCCUUCUUUGCAGCUUGUUUCAGGUGAGGCGCAUGAUUUACCUCCAAGACCCAAGAAGAGUGUGAAGAGCAAGGCUUCCUUUAGCCCAACUCCAUUACCGGAAGUGAUGUGUUCAGUACAUGAGCUAGCCAUUCCAGCAUACCAUAACCCUAUCAACUUCUCCUGGUCAGACUUCUUUCAGCUAGAGUUGUCAUUCAGAGAUUAUCCCUGCCCCCAUAAUGGAAACAAUUGUGUGGUUAUAGAAGCAACUAAUGGUGGCAUGACCAAUGCCUUGAGCACUGACCAUGAGGUAGUGCAUUGCUCAACCUUCUCAUCACCAGGUCAAGCACAUUUCACAUGCACAAUAAUUGAAGAAGUGGGCGGCCUUGAUAGUGGUAUUGGGUUAAUCAGUGUUGUUCAUGAUACAGAUAUUGAAGCUCUAAAGGUGCCGAAUUCACUUGUUUCAGAUACAGAGCCCAAAUCUGAGUCAGAUUCUCCUGUGAACCAGUCGUUAUUGUUGAAGUCCCCCCUUUAGCUAUGGCCAGCUCUUCCUUGACUUCUUCGACACCAUGCGCUUCAUUAGAUUCCAAGGCUGUAGACUAGCCUUCAGCAACUAAAAGGAUGCUCUGUAUCUAGUCCUGAAGUCAAGAUUCUGACACUUCGUGGCUGUGCAACUGCUUUGAGAAAUUUUAACUUUGAAAAGGAGACAUUUAACAGUUUCGAAGGUCUUUUGAAUGACCUAGAACGGUGGAGAGUUGAAGCUCUAAGAAGUGAGUCUGACGUGCAGGAGCUGUGUGGUACCCAACCGACCGCAUUAGAAGAUUCCCUUGCCCAAUACCAGAGUUUGAUGGUUGGGUAUAAUUAAAAGAAGGCCCUUCUUAUUGUGCAUCAAAACAGCUCCAGGCAUCAAGACAUAGCCCGCCUUGCAGAGUUGAAGGCUUUGAAAGAGGAAUUAGCAAAGAUGCAAGCCCGUCACAUUGAACUGAAGGCCGAGCUAGACCAAUGGAGAGCAUAUGCCCAGAGUGAAUCGCAGGAGAUGGAGAAGUUAGAUAUUGAGAUGGAGGCGACCAUUGCCUGGUUAGGUCAGCUCACAAAGGCGGUUUCCACACUCAAGGAGGGUGCAAAGGAAUCUUUGGAGCAAUUAGAGGCACUGAAGACAAGGAUUUGCGAUUCCCUUGAUGGUUUUAGGGGUUUGCGAACUCCUUACCAUCUAGCUUGCUUUUCUUCUUCUGUCUUUUAUUUUGUGGAUUUAAGAUUGUAACCACAAAUUUUGUAAUCUUCUUUCUCAUGGAAUGAAUGCCCUUUUCCUUUUGUCUUUGUAUCACUUGCCUUUCCUGCUUCACGGUUUGCACUUCUCUUUCAUCUCUUCAUGAUUGGCCCUUGUCUCCUCUAGAGGCGAUAUGAGAUGAAUUGGAUCCUUCUCCACAUAGAAGCAUGUUUGGUCUCCAUCAUGCAUGACUUGAACGCCUUUUUAGAUUUUCAUCCAAGUCUUUAGGAUAUGUAUCAUUUUUUAUUUUCACAAAAACCCCAUCAAUAUUUUUUUGUGGCGAUUUUGCCCAUGGUUUUUACACCAUGUCUUCCUUUUUAUAUUUUUACGCACGAUGUCCUUGCAGAUUUUCACUGUGCCCAUUUUUUUUUUUUUCUCUAUUUUUUAAAUAUUUUACUCGUAAUAGAGAAUGAUACUAUCAUGACUAUCAUUUCUCUUUUUUCUUUUCUUUUCUUUUGACUUUUUUACUCAUGAUGCCCUUUCGGAUUUUUGUCAUGUCCGUCUUUGUAGGGAGGCACUUUUAAGGUCAUACCGACGUGACCAUGGGGAGGUGUGUUUAACGUCAUGCCGUCGUGACUGUUGACUUGGUGUAUUUUAAAGUCAUCUACCAAGACCUAAUGGAGGCAAGUUUAAGGUCGUGCCUUCGAGAUUGUAAGAUUGGUGUAUUUUAAGGUCAUCCACCAAAAUCUAAUGGAGCAAAAUUUAGAUUCGUGUCUUCGAGACCACAAGGUUAGUGUAUUUUAACGUCAUCCACCAAGACCUAAUGGAGGCAAGUUUAGGGUCGUACCUUCAAGACCGAGUAUUAUGCAAUUUAACAUUGUGACACCAGGACGUGUGCUAUAGUUUAAGGUUGUAUAGCUUGGACCAAUACCACACAAUUUAUGGUCAUGCAAUUUGAACAGUUGUCUAUGGAGAAUACUUCUUCAAAUAUCUCCUAUUGAUUGGGGGCAUAGCUUCUUCCUUUUACGAUUUGACUAGUACGUAAGCUCCAUUAGGAAAGGCCUUUUUUUAACCGCAAAUAGCCCCUCCCAUUUUGGUUCAAAUUUCCCUUUAGUGCAAUCAUGAGUUAUAAUAGUUCUUCUUACACGAACAAAUGAUCGUACCUGAAUUGAUUUAUCAAAAGCUCGUUGCAUACGGCUUCGAUAAAUUUCGAAACUUUGUUUGUGCUUGCAACCUCUUCUCAUCAAGUGCAUCAAGUUCUUAAUAACAAAUGGUCGCUUGCUCCUUGUCAGUCAUCCCAUGAUGGAUGGCUACUCAGAGUGAGGGUAAUGGAAUUUCCAAGGGUAGGACAACAUCACCCCCAUAUACCAAAGAAUAUAAUGUGGACUGAGUUAGACCUCGCAUUGUGAUACGAUAAGCCCAUAAAACUUUAGGAAGCUUCUCAUGUCAUUCUCUCUUUGAUCAAAAAACAGACUUAUGUAGGGCAUCACAGAGUUCUAUUGAAAGCUUCGGCCAGACCAUUAGCUCUAGGGUGGUACAUGGUCGACUACUUCCAUUGAAAACCAAACUGAUUAAGCAAAUGGUGUAUAUGAUGACUGCAAAAUUGUGGACCAUUAUCUGAAGUGAUCCGGUCAGGUAUAUCGAAUCUAAACAUGAUGGAGUGACAAAUAAAGUAGGCCACUGUAAGCCCAGAACUUUUCUUAGGAGGAAUACCUUCAGCCCACUUAGAAAAAUGAUCAGUGGCAGCAAGGAUAAACACAUGCCCUAAAGAUGAUGGAAGAUCUAUGGAACCCACGAUAUUCAUACCUGACUGUGUAAAUGGUCAUGCUGCCACUGUCAGGUGAAGAGGCUUAGGAGCUUGAUGAAUGAACCUCACAUGAAUUUGGAAAACUGAGCACUUCCUUGCAAAGAUGAGAGAAUCGGCGAUCAUAGUUGGUCAAUAAUAACCUAUCCUCAUGAUCUGAUCAUAAAGCUUGGGUCCAGAUUGGUGCAACCCACAAACUCCAAUAUGAAUUUCUUUGAGUACCCGAUUCUCCUCUUUUUGGUCAAGGCAUUUGAGCAGCAUAUUGUUAAAAAAGAGUCGAAACAAGAUACCAUCAAGACACACAUAUAGUGUGGAUGUCCUUCAGAUCUUAUUACGUUCAAUGGGAUGGUCAGGGAGGUGAUUGUGCUCCAAGUAAUCCUUUAUAGGGGUCCGCUAAUCUGUGACCUAUUCUAUCUCUAUGCAUAAGAGGACUUGAGAUUACGGAUCUUCAUCUGUCGUCUCAGUUAUGCGAGAUUUUUUGGAACUGCUUGAAGCUUCCAGGGCCCUUUUAGCUACAUUCAGUGCCUCAAAAGGAUAAGGUGGGCAUUCGUCGAACAACUAUUGUUCAUCAUCAUUAUUGAUUUCAUAAACAAAGUCAACACACCUCCAUUCAGCCAUCCAUAUUGGUGUCAGCUCCUUUAGUGGGAUUUGAAUAGUUUCUCCUAACUUGGCGAGUGUGUCAGCUUGUGAAUUAAGCCUUCGCGGGACAAGCCCUAGGGCAACUUCUUUGAAUUCUACCAUCUAGGUCUUAGCAGUAUUGAAGUAGGGUUUGAGACUGUCUUUUCUGACAUCAUACACCCCUUUAAGCUACCUUAUGACCAAUUUAGAUUGACCAUAAAUGAUCAGGCAUUUCCAGUUCAUGUGGGAAGCAAUUUCCAAGCCUAUGACGAGCAUUUGAUAUUCAACUUCGUAAUGGGAUUCUAUAUCUUGGAGAGAGAAUGAUAAUGGGACGAGACCAUCAUCGGGGGUGGUCACGACCUUGUUCAGACUGAAAGGCCCUGUCAAAAUUCAUCUUCCAAUCACAUGAAGCUUCAGUGUGAAAUACUUUGGCAUUUGAAAGGUCAUCAUAUAUGGGAGAAUUAGCAGGUGGGGGAUGUGCAGCCAAAAACCCUGCAAGUGCUUGUCCUUUGACAACUUUUUACGACACAUAGGUUAUGUCAAACUCCAUGAGGAGUAGUGACCAUUUCGCAAGGUAGCCCGAUAGACUGGAACAAGACAAGAGAAACUUGAUAAGGUCUAUUUGUGAGAUGAGCUGAACCAGGUGUGAGCUUUUGAACUGUGACUAUCAAGGAUACGCACAUCUUUUCAAUGGCAGAGUAAUUCCCCUCAUCUCCUUACAUUCUCCGACAAGGUUGUCUCUUUUCCUUCCUCAUUGUUUUGAGCAAGCAAAGCACUGAGUGACUCCUCCAAUGCAUUCACGUAUAGAAUGAGGGGUUUCCCAAGGUUUGGAGCAAAGAGAAAAUAGGGUUUUAAAAGGUAAGUCUCGAUGUCUUUAAAGGCUAUUUGACAUGCUUCAUCCCACUCAAAAGGCACAUCUUUCUUUAACAGGCUGGUAAAGGCCUUACACCAUCCUGAAAUAUUUGAGAUGAAUCUCUAGAUAUAGGCAAGUUUGCCAUGAAGAGAUAUAAGCUCUCACAGAUUCCUCGAAGACGACAUCUCUUGAAUAGCUUUAAUCUUGACAGGUUUGAUGUCCAAGCCUCGAUACUUGACAACAAAUAUUAAGAACUUCCCUGAAAAUAUGCCACAGGCACACCUUAAGGGGUUCAUCUUGAGUUGAUGAAGAAGAAGUCUUUCAAAGACUUUCUCAAGACUCUGGAUGUGGCUAUGAGAUCAUCUACGUAACAUUCCACUUCUUCGUGCAGUAUAUCUUUGAUUAUAGUGGUCAUGUCCCUUUGACGGGUGGCUCCCACAUUCUUAAAACCAAAUGGCAUCACUGUAUAAUAGCAAACCCCCUUGGAAGUCAAGAAGGCUGUAGACUUUUCAUUUUCAGUGGCCAUCCUUAUUUGGUUAUACCCCCAGUAACCAUCCAUGAAAGAGAAGGCUUGACAAUUAUUCGCGAGUCAAUAAAUAUUUCAGUGAACGGAAGUGGAAAGUCAUCUUUUGGACAAGCCACAUUUAAAUUACGAAAGUCAAUGCAGACUCAGAUUUGACCAUUCUUCUUCUUGAUUAGUACAACAUUAGCCAACCAGUUUAGGUUUUUUACUUCUUUGAUGAAAUUAGCCGCCUUAAACUCGAUCUGUAUUUCAAGAUUGGCUCGGAACCUCCUUAACUUGCUCUUUACAAGUUUGAACGAUGGGUCAAUCCGAAGCCGGUAAACUGCUACUUAAGAGUCGAGCCCAGUCAUCUCUUGGUAAAUCAAGGCUAAGAAAUCCUGAUUGACUCGCAACAAUGUAGUAUACUCCUCUUCAGGGGGUAUAAUGGCUAAAACGAAGAUGGCCUCGGGUCAGCUUCAUCACCCAUGUUUACCUCUUCCAAGUCGUCAGCUAUAGCUUUCCCACCAUCUUCUAAAACUUCUGAUUUUUCUUUCAAGGGUUGAUUUGGGAAUGGGAGCUUCCGGGGUUACAUGAUCAGGAGCACGAACGUCUUCAACCAACUUAUGAAAUAAGGAAUCAAACUCUGGAGCAAUGCUUUGAUGUGGUGGUGGUGAGUCAUCAAUGACUACAUCACCAUUUUUCGUGAACUCUUCUAGAAUAGGCUUGAAUCCCCAGCAUUGAAACAGGUCAUGCCCUUUCAUCUGGUGAUACGAGCACUAUAAUCUUUAUAGGCCUCCUUUAAAUUUUCCUUGAAGCUCAUAUUGUUGCAGCCCUGGUAUUGUGACACCAGGGAUUUUUCUUUUUGAGUGUGGGUUGAAGCCACCUGUUGAGGUGGAUGCUACAUUAACAUGUUUAUGGGUCCAAGCAUCCUUUGCGGAUAUUCACUUGAACUUGGGAAGCGGUUCCGUAGAGACGGUUUUCACCAAUUUCUUUUUAUUUGGGAGUUCUUUUACCCAUGACUUUUUUUACCAUGUCCACCCUUAUUCUUCCACUUUUACUCACGGUGCCCUUUUGGUUUUUCACCGUGCCUGGGUUUUUAUUUUCAUACAACUCUUUUGCUCAUGGUUUCGUGACCAUGCCCGUCCGUCAUUUUUACUCAUGGCGUUCCCUUGUUAAGGUAUACACCAUACCUGUUAUUUUUUGUGAAGGCACAUUUGAGGUCAUACCUUCGGGACCUGUGCAAAGCCUUUUAACGUCAUGCGGUCAGGACGUGUACUCUAGUUUAGGGUCAUAUAGCUGGACCGUGGUGGAGAUGAAUGGCAGGCUCUGGAGGCCAUAGAGUGAGUAUGGUAGUGGUUUUCGCUCACUUUUGGGGAGAUUACAUGAGGCUUCCUAUGAAAGAUGGAUGAUGUGUGAAAGGUGGGUGAAAAAUGGUGACCCAUUAGCUUAUGAAGGGUAUAGGUGACAGGAUGGUUCGCCGUUUUGUGAUCAUGGGUGAGACUCAUUGGGGAAUGAUGAAGGAUGAUGAAGUGAAUGGACUCACAGGGGAGGUAGUGCACAUGCAUGGGUCAGUUAAGGAAGAUGUGCAUGAAGAUGCACGUAAAAAGGUGUGCGCACGUACGUAGGGGUGAGUUUAUGGUCAUAGCUCCGAGACCUGUGCAAAGUAGUUUAUCAUCAUGCGUUCAGGACGUGCACUAUGGUUUAUGAUCAUAUAGCUUGGAUCGUAAUUAUACAGUUUAAAGUCAUGCAAUUAGAACCAUGCGGUUUAAGGUUGUGCAACUAGACCUCCACUACAGUUUACGGUCGUAUAGUUUAGAUCGUGGUGCUGAGCCUUUUAAUGUCAUGCAGUUAGGACGUGUACUAUAGUUUUAGGGUCAUACAGCUAGACCAUAGCUAUGCAGUUUUAAAGUCAUGCAGCUAGGACCAUGCAGUUUAAGGUCGUGCAACUAGUCCUCCGCUAUAGUUUAAGGUCAUAUAGUUUGGACAAUGAUGGUGAGCCUUUUAACGUCAUACGACUAGGACGUGUACUAUAGUUUUAGGGUCAUACAACUAGACCAUAGCUAUGCAAUUUUAAAGUCAUGCAGCUAAGACCAUGCAGUUUAAGGUCGUGCAACUAUACCUAUGCUACAGUUUAAGGUCAUAUAGUUUGGACCAUGGUGUUUAGGGUCGUGCAACUAGAACAUUGUGUGGGUCACCAGGAAUAGGUCUGUGGAUGGCAAUCCGACUCCCUAGGAAUAAAAUAGUUAAGGCCAUUCACAAGCAAAGGGCUCAAAUGGAGAUGGUGGCCCAACGAGGGAUGGCGAACGGAGGCGAACUUCACUAGAGAUUAGGAGACAAAUGUGGGUCUUUUAUAUCCUUGAAUACAAAAUAAAUAAGUGAGGCACCAUUGGAGGUUGCAGCAACAAAAAUGACCCUAACUCCACUAGGGAUAACAAGUUGUAAUAUGAGUAUGACUCUCCUAUUGGGGAUGAGAAGUCAUGACCUGAGUUUGAACGACCUAGGUACCACUUUGCUGGUGAUAAUAGGUCAAAGUCAAGGUACCACUUUACUGGGGAUAAUAAUAAUAAGACACACAUGGCUUCUGCAUGGGGUGUGUGACAAUAGACUGUUUAGAACGCAGUCGGCACCGAGCGCAGCGACCAUUACUUCUUUUGAGUGCUAAGCCGACGAUGAGUCUUCGAAAUGCAACCGGCGCUGAAAACGACCAACACUGCUUCUUAACAACCCAGCCGGCGCUGAAUUUGUUAAAAACACAGUUGGCACUUAGGACGGCCCGUGCUAUCACGUGAGCACGGUCGACGCUAAGUUGCUGAGCAUGUAGCCGGCGCUAGGGUUGUUGAAACACAACCGAUACUAAGCAUUGGCAAAUAUAGCUGGCAGUAGGUGUUGGUAGGCACAGCCGGUGCUAGACUUUCUGAAGACACGGCCGACGCCCACCAAAAACACAUAGUCGGCACUAGAUGACUUCGACCGUGUAGCCGACGUUAAGUAUGGAUUAAUAUUCAGGCCAUGACCCAAGCCCAACCCGAUCCUAGUCUGUGUUGCGUGGCAUUUUAAUGAGGUGGCAAUGAGACUGAGCCCGAGGCUCGAGUCAAAACCUGACCCGGUCCGACCAUCCACGUUUGACCUUCCUGGACAUGGUUGGAAUUCCCCUUUUAUGAGGGACAUUUAGAGGGAAACCCCCCAUUUUUCCCAUUUUUCACCAGAGGGUUUAAAAAAAAAAACUUGGGGUAAAGCUUUUUAGCAGUGAGAAGCAGGCAACCAGGGUUUUCGACUGAGGGUUUGCAGAAGUUUUGCCAGCAAACAGAGAAGGUUCCAGCAAGUCUAACAGGGAUUUUGCCAGAAUUUAUGAACUUACAGGGACUUGCAAUGAGUGCAGUGAAGCUAUCGGGGAGUUUCGUCGUGAAUUUCGAGAGUAGAAGAGGCGACGGAAGAAGGAGACAAGAGUUGCAGCAGCAGGUUGUGCGGGGCUUUCCGCAGGCUCUAGCGGUUUUCCAGCGAGAGAACGUGGUUUUUCUGGCAACUUGGGGGAGUUGCAGAUAAUUUCCAGCGGUUUUGGUGACUUUCCGGCCAAGAUGCAAGCAGGGAGAGUCUCAUAGUGGGUUUUCAGUGAAAGACCGAAGGGCACAAGGAAAACGGACCGUUGCUGAAGCCGAACGGCUGUAGGGAAGGCGAUGGUUGUCAUUCGCUCGUGUGUUAGGCGGUGCAGAAGGACGUGGCGACGGUUGUGAGGCGGCGUAGUAGGGCUCGAGGUGUCACACGUAGAAUCUGUGGCACGUGUGAGAGGUUUGAACACGGCUAGCACUAGAUGUUUGCAAACACAGUCGGUGCUAGGAAUUAGCAAGCACAACCGGCGUUAGGCCUUGGUAGACACAACCAGCGCUAAGGUUUAAGUGCUCAGCCGACGUUAAAGUUUAACAGACACAGUCGACACAAAGGGUUAACGAAUACAGCCGGCGUUAAGCUUUGAGUGCACAGCAGGCGCUAAGUGUUAGGGGACACAACUGGCGCUAAGGUUUGAGUGCUCAGCCGGUGCUAAAGUUUAGCGGACACAACUGACGCUAAGGAUUAAUGGACACAGCCGAAGUUAAGCUUUGAGUGCACAGCUGGCACUAAGCGUUAGCGGACACAGCCGGAGCUAAGCUUUGAAUGCAGAGUCGGCAAUGAUCCAGUGCCUUAACAAUUUUGAUUUGGGAGUAAACCACUAAGCCCUUUUAUAAUGGCUAGUUCUUCUUACCAAAUUUUUGAUGUGAAGAAUCUUCCGAGAGGAGGAAAGGUCAGUACUGAUAACUUUAGUGUGAGACUUUAACAAGAGGGAAGCCCAUUUGGCUAACAAGGCCCAUAUGCGAACCAGAGUGGCCUCUUAGUAUCACUUUUAUUACUGACUCGGUUCGUUUUGAAUUCCACGAGGGUAACGACAUUAAUGUUAGCAUCGAAGAAGGGGUGGCGCUCCUUCGUUGUAUGCACAAGAACAUAACUUCUGGGGAGAAGUUGCCUACCCUAGGAAAACGAAUGGUACAGGCAAAAGGGCUACUAUUGUGGUCUGGAAGAGGCCUUCGAAUACAGGGGGAGCUCCAAUAUUUAAAGGGAUACUCUUCCUAGACAGCCAAGGUGUUAAUGUCGCACAAAAGAAUUCUUAAGCAUGCUUCUCUGCUAGCAGCGGUCCAAUGUUCAGGCAGCUACUAUGAUCAAUGCUUUAAUACUGUCAAAGUAUUACUGGAGACUUGGAGUCACAUUAGCAAUACCUGGCUUCUUGGGCAUGGGGAAGCAGGAAUCUCUUUGCUAGAUCUUCAAUUUAUUGGAGGCCUUCCGAUGAUCGAGGCCAUUAUGACUGGUUCGUGCCUCUGAAGUCGGUCAUCUUUGGUGGUGCUAGCUUGGGAGAUGAAGAGCCGCCUGCCAGUCUCCAAAAGAUCUUUGAGUCUUGCCAAUUAGUUCAUGGCAAGUCUAACAAUGGUCAAGUAACCUUCAUCGAAUGGGUGAAAUUCUUUUGUGGGGACUAUCCUGAAGGCGGUCGGGGUACUUCGAAAGGAAAAGGGAAGGCAGUUGUGAAGGGGACGCUCGUGUAUCAAUCUAAGACCAGCGAUGACUGCGGCUUUUUGGCUGCAUAUUUGGCCUUAUUUUUGUGCAAGUUCGUGCUCCCCGGGUGGGCAGACGACGUUCAUCCAGGCGUAUUGUAUGUAGCCUGUGACAUGGCCAGAGGGCGUGAGUAUGCCCUUGCUCAACCAGUCUUGUGUAACAUUUACCAUGGCUUGGGGGCCAUCUCCCGUAGAGAAGCCUACAAACGCAAAGGGGGAGGGAAUGGGAUUGUAGGAGAAGAGGCAUUUCCAUGGGAUUUUAAUACUCUAUUCCCCAUUCAUUACGUGUAUGGGUGGCUAGGGGCCUAUUUCCCUGCCACUUAUGUGAGGAGCCAGGGCGUAGGGAACAAAUUGUGGCCCUUCUUGAUGAGUAUUGUUGGCCAAAAGGCUAUCUUUCAUAGCCCAGGGGAAGCUCAAGGCUUAUUUGGGAAUGACUCUUUGAAUAUGCAUUGGGUCCCAUUUCCGGUUGGAAGCUUCACUGAUCAUGCUUUCGUUGAUGAACUGGGGAAGGAGCUAGACGAUGCUCCAACAACCAUCAGGGAACUCAUGUUCAUCUUGAGAAUUAGAGGACGAGUUCUGCCUUAUCGAACUACGGACAGUGCCAGAUUAGAAAGAUAUUUCCCCCACCGCUUCGCCCGUCAGCAUGGGCUUGAUCAGGGCUGCCCCUUCCCAGUGUUCUUCGAAAAGCGCCAAGGCAGAGGAAAAUGGGGAAGCUGGAAGAGUUGGGGACUCUUCGAGAAUGCUGGUUACUAGAACAUAUACGGACAGCUUGGUCCACGUGUCUACAAACGACAGAGAUCAGCAAGUAUGUGUUACCUCACUUUGGUAGGAAGGUCUGAAUGACCAAGGCCUAUACGAACUGGUGGAGGAUCACCAGCAAGAGAUACUGAGAUGAGGAUCAACCUUAGAGAGGAGAGAACGACAAACUGGUACCAGGAGACUAGGCAGAGGAGAGUGGUGGAUCCUCCUUCUCUUGACGAAGUCUUUGUCUUGGAAUAUCCCUCGAACUGGCAAGCUCUAGGGAUCCCUCGAGAGAUAGCUGCCGAUGACGUCUCGUCGGAAUUUCUAGCUGUGAAACAGAGAUCUAAGAGUGUCUUUGAUAAACUCAGUUUCAUAUUUGAAUGGGAUGAUGGCCGACAGGUCCCUGGUUAUGGGAAGCGUCCCUCACAGGACAUGAACGCUAUGAUUGAGAGUGGUCCUCAUAGUAGACUGGCUGAGGGCCCCUCUCUAGGGGGAAUUCUGAAGCGGCAGCUCCUUCUUCGGUAGGGGGAAAGAACAAAAAACGCUCCACCACUACUGACAUUCGUGCGUCUUCUCCAGUUAAUGGGCAUACUCGGAGGCAUGUGGGCACCAAUCUUCCUGUGAUCUCAGAACCAGGAGGUAGCUCUUCCUCAUCUAAUCAUUUAGCAACUCCACCUGUGUUACCUUCUGCACUUUCUCCACCAUCUUCUGUCUCUCCUGAAUUGUCUUCUUCUUCAGAGACUAAAGCAAAUGACUUCGACCCUUCUGAGCCCAUUGUUAUUCCUUCUGAGUAGAAAGUGACUCUAGAUCUGGGGAGGAGCCUUUGAGUCCAAGGGCCAUUCCUAAGUCAGAGCCAGCUCUGAUGGAGACUAACAAGGCUGAAGGUCCCGAAGCAAUUGCUCCAGGAAGGGAAUCUGAUGCCGAUGUGGCCUCUAUGCUUCAGUGGUUUAAUUCCCCGAUUGAGGCAGGGGCUAUGAUUCAAGAAGAAGGUCCUGUAGUUAAUGAUGCCCCUCAGUACCAAGAGGUCGUUGCCCUUGAGGGCACAAAACAUGAAGAUGAAGGGGUUGAAAUUUUCGUGGCUGAGGUUCUGGCUGAUGAGGGUGUAGGUCAAAUGGAAGAAACCAUGGGUGGAGCUGAAUCGACCAUUGACGAAGGCCAAAGGGAAAAGGCAGCUUCUGAACUUGCCAAUGUUGAAGUGGUAGUUCAGGAGGGUGAGAAGCAUGGGGAAUAAGUUUCUUUGAAGGUCGCUGAGACAAAAAUGGAGACCCCCAUAAGAGAGGGUCAAGCCAGCGAGGCCGAGAUUGAAGAACCCAGGUAGGUUGAGGCUAGGGCUGCCUCUGAGUCUGAGGGGCAAGAAGCUCUGGACCUUGCCAUCGUUCCAGAGGAGCCAGUGGCUCAGAUGACUAUCACUUCAACCAGCCCGGUCCUUGAAGCCGAAGCCUCUUCAGUAGUCGUAAUCCCAGCAGCACCAUUUAGGCCCGGGGUUUCUGGUAUGAUUGCAGGCAUGCUUCGAGCAGGCCUUCAAGGUUUAAGAGAGCUACCUUUCAAUGAGUUGGGCAAGGCUUUGGCCAAACUGAGGGAAUCUAUUGUGACCAUUGCGGUUGGAAGUUCACCAAAAGUCCUUUCCCAUUUUGAUGCAACCCUAAAUGAGUUGGAGAGCUAGCGGUCGGGAAUACUACAUCAUGAGGCAGAAAUCAGCAAGCUAGCCUCCUUGGAGGAGUCAAUCUUGCGUCAUCGCGAGAAGAUAGAUUCUUACACUAAGAAGAAGGCCACGAUGACUAGUUGUCAACAGGAUCUCAAGAGGGAGGCACAAAGCAGCUAUAAGAGAAUGAUUGAAAUAAGAGAGGAAAUGAGACUAUUGAGGCAGGAAUUUGUUGGUCUUGAGACAUAGAUGAUCCAGAGGAGGGCCAUGGAGGCCUUUUUGGUUACAGAUUUGUCCAAACUUGCUUGCACCAUUGAGUCCAAAAACUGUGGCGAGGGAGGAGGAGACCCAAAUGGUGGCCAAAUUGAAAGAGCGUGUCAAGGGCACCGAGACUUCUCCUGCGGCGUGCAGCAUAGAGAUCAAUAGGAUAAUUGAUCAGUUUUUUAAAAUGUCUUUUCUUUUAUCAGCACUUAUAAAAGUUUUUACUGAUUAAUAAAGUGCUUUUUUUUUUCUUCUGAUUGACUUUACUGUAUGAUUUCAUUCUCCUCUUACUUUGUUGUACUUCAUGUAUUUUUUUUUAAACGCCGCUCGAUAUAUUAAUACCCUAGGCCUUGUUUAGCCCCAUGAUGUGCUGUCGUGGCUUAUAUAGAUUCGAAAUUGGGAGUCAUUGCUUUUUCUCCUCUUAAUGUUUGAUUGGCCAAGGGCUCAUAGUUCAUUUUCCUUACCAUUUGGUGAGCCUUCUCACUAUAGAUAGUCUAGCAGGAGGGCCUUCUGGCUCCAUUAGUGGUGCAUUCACUUCAAACCCAUCAUAGCUUUUGGUCUCAGGCACGAACUCCUUCAGAUGUUUUGAAGUGAAACGCAUGACCUCCAAUUGAAUCUUGAGACUGCGAACUUCGCUUCUUAAGCUAGCUAGGGGAUCCUGCCCUUGAAGGGAAGAAGAUUGCUCUUUCUCAAACUGCUCUCCUCCCACCAAACAAAUAAAGUGUAGAAAUUGCGGCUGGUCACUGAUCCGAGGAGCAUCCUCUAUACUUAUAACAACCGGAUUUUGACAAAUCUUUCACAACGGUUGGCACACCACCUCUGCUUUCAAGAGUGCAGUGGGAAUAUGCAGGACUUUCUUAUCGUCAAGUGUAUAGGUGAUCUUUGGAGCCGAGAAUUCUAUCCCCAUGAGUGCUCAAUCUCAGGAAUGACCUUUGGUUCAUCCUCCGACCAAGGUGGCUCAGAACUAGGGGCAGAGGGAAAAGACUCCUUUUCAGGUGAAGAAGGAGUUUCUUAAGGAUGAUAGUUGAGACGUUAGAAUGAAUAAGGCUUAGAGGUAAAAUUCUGCCCUGCCUUUCUUCCUCUUUGAACAUGUUCACCAAUGUUCCUCCAACAUCCUCAACAUCUUCAUGAGGUGAAGAUGUUGUCUUCAUUGUAGACUUGUGACCUUCAUCAUUCAGCUUCUGAGGCGACACCAAAUCUGUGAAGUAAUAUUUAGCAUCAGUGUAAUGAGCUUCAACUACAGGGAACGAUCUUUUGUCGGCAUAGACCGUAUGUUGUCUCUCAUGUCGGCUAUACUUGAAGCAUUGGUGCAACGUAGACGGAACCACCCCUUGGUCAUGGAUCCAUGGCCGACCGAGGAGAAUGUUGUAGGAAGUGUUUGUGUCGAUUACAUGAAACUGGGCAUAAUCAUUCAUCUCACCGAUCUUAAAACAAAGGCGAACUGUGACAGCUAGCUUCUCUCCUGACUGGUUGAACCCUUGAACUGUGACGUGUGUCGGAGUACGAUCUUCAUACCCUAAUUCUAAUCGAGAAAGGAUCCUCUUUGGAAUAAGGUUGACUACCGACCCUCCAUCUAACAUCAUUCAGUUGAUGGGGCAUGCAUGUAAUUCAACAAAGAGAGGGAGAUUAUAAAACUUUUCUCCCAGCUGCCGAUCAUCCUCUGAAAAGGUAAUUGACAUACAUCCUUCUAAAGUCAUCGGGUCUACUUCAAUAAGUUCUACUUCUGUCUCGUACACCUCUGGGUUAGAGAGAGCCUGAACCAAACCCAUCCAGUAAUCCCUCGAGAGCAUGAGGGCGUCGUAGAUAAUGAGGAGAGCUAGAAGCUUCCGUAGACGCCCUAUCACAUCAUAUUUCACCUUUUCUUGAUCAAGGCCUUGUACUCCUAAUCCUACCAUUGGUUUGGGUGGUAUGUUGGGUUGAGGAGCAGGUUUGGGUGGAAGAGGUUUAUUUUGGCCUGCUGGAUGACUUAAUUGCACAAUGGGCUUAGUUCGAGUGAUGGUGGUUUGAGGUUUUGGAAGUGAUUGAGUACAUGGGAUCCAAAGUGUCCCAAGGAAUUGGAAAAUAGGUUGUUUGAGGUAUUGGGCAUGGGAAGGAGCCCAGGGAGCUGUAAGAUAGGCAAAUUAGUCUUUGGAUUAGGGGACAAUGAGGGACUAGGAAACUUCAAGGUGUCCGACUUCUACGAUGGAGGUUGCAGCAUCCUUCCCUAUCUGAGCCCGUGAUGGAUGAUGCUUUUAAGAUUUGCACCAUGUCGCAAGCUUCUUGAGAGUAGAAGCUUUGCCCUCUUGAUUCUCUCAGACUCUGCUCAAAAUCGGGUUCAGAGGGCCACUAUGGUUUCUUUGGCUUCGACUUUUUGUGCUUCUGUAAAGAAGGUGGCUCUGCCUUGGCUUUAGCUACCAGGGCAUCAACAACUAUUAAGAAUCCUGCUGCAUGUGCCAGGGUCUUUCUCAAUUUUUUUUGUUGCAUCCUGCUUAUGUUGAUCCCUUCAACUUCUCUAUUGAGAGCUCAAAGUCCAAACAUUUCAAGGUUGUACCUGCAAGAGACAUAGGAGAAGAAAGAUGAGAAGUAGAAGAAGAAGAAGGAGAACGGUCAGGAAGUGGGGGACUUUUAAGGUCGUUCCCCUCAUCGGACAGAUAUAGGUGGUUUUUUACGUCAUCAUCAGGGUUCGACGUGUGCAGCGAAUCUUUUAGGUCUUUCCCUUGCUUAGACCGUUGGGGCGUGCUUUUAACGUCGUCACCCUCAUUGGAUGUGUGCAGGGAAUCUUUUAGGUAUUUUCCUUGCUUAGACCGUUGGGAAGUGCUUUUAACAUUGUCACCCUCAUUAGACGUGUACAGCGAAUCUUUUAGGUCUUUCCCUUACUUAGACCAUUGGGGAGUGCUUUGAACGUCGUCACCCUCAUUGGAUGUGUUCUGAGGAGAAGAUGACUCAGGGACGUCUUCUUGACGAGAUGGAGAAGGAAGAAGGAUCUUGUCAAGGAUAAAGUCCAGCAAAGUUGGCAAUGGGGGAAGGGGUCUGAGAAAUUCUUGCUCAACUAGAGGUUGAGUUGUUUUGUUUCUCUGACGAGCAGCCCUUGGUGCCCAUCUCCUGGUUUUCUGAGGUGGUGUUUGAUUCGUCUUGCUAGGCUUGUGAAUAGCCUUAGCUUGGCAAACUGCUUCUCGUCUUAAGGACAUGACUCUACUUCGCCCAUAAUGGACUAUCCAUGGAUGAGAAGUCGAGGGUUCCGCAGAAUCUGAAUCACUAUUAGGAAGGUCUUGUGUAGGGAGAUCCUCUUGUGUCAGUGGAGUAGUGGCUUGAGGAUCACUUACUAGGACAUGGUAAAACUCCUAACAUUCCCACAUUUUAUUUGCGAAUAUAUCAUGGAAACGGGUGCAUUCUCACAGGUAGUGGCCGCAUAUCUAGUGAUACAGGCACCAACGAUCAUCAGUGCGCUGUGCAAGGCUUCGAGGCUGCCUGGCCUGUUUCAGUGUGAUUAGGCCUUUCUAAAGCAUUAUAACAAAGAAGACAUAAAGGAUACCAGGGGCUUCAUCUUCCUCUUGGAUGGUUACCGCAUGGGAGGCUUCUGUUGCCUGGAAUGCCUGCUUUAAGUCUUCCUGUUUUAUCUGACCCUUCUGGAUUAGGGCCUCGAUAAUAUCUUUUAACGUGUAGCAGUCAUCUGUGGGGUGAUUGAUCCUUCGAUUGUAGGCACAAUAAUUUUCCAUGUGUUGAGCUCGGCUUGCUCAGCGAACUUGGCUUCAGGAAGCUCGAUCAUGUUUUGUUUCAACAACAGAAACAAUGCAGGGACCCAUUCUUUCUCAAAGGGGUAGACUUUGUUCCUAUGCCUGGUGAAAUAAUCAUCCCAAUUAAGAUUCGCUAGCGGGGGUACUCGGUUGUACGAAUGUUGUUGCUUACCUGCCUAGGCGUUAAGUUUGUAGUGCUCACACCUUUAGAGAGGUUCAAAGUUUGGAAGGGAGCUUUCUUUGGAUCAGUGACCGUGACAGCUGCACUGAUCACUCCUUUCUGUUGGCUGCUCUGGGUGUUAAUCCAAGAGCUACCAUUACCCCAAUUGUUCCCUGAACUAGUAGACAGUUGUCGUGACCCGUCGUGGUGGCGUGAUAGACUUUCUAUGCGGACAGAUUUGGAGAUCAGCUCUGACAUGGAAGUUGGUUUAGAGGCCUCGACGUGUAGACCAAUCUCAAGUCGCAUGUUUCGUACGCAAGUUUGGACUGCUCCCUUCUUGGGCAUAGGAUUGGGAUGGCGAGUGGCCAAAUUUCUCCAUCUUGAUAUGAACUGGUCCACGGGCUCAUCGGGAUCUUGAGUCAGGGUGAGAAGUUCAAUACUCUGAACCUCUCUCUCAACCUCAUAGAAACGCUGGUAGAACAGCUUCUCCAUUUCCUCCCAUGGAUGUAUUGAGUUAGGAGGGAGUCAAGCAUACCAUUGAAAGGCUGGGUCGUCAAGGGUUUUAACAAACUGAGGAAGAAGGAGUCUCCCAUCAGCCGAUGUUUCUCGACAUGCUGCUUGAAAGUGGGCGAUAUUCUAGUUCGAGGAUGUGGUCCCAUGAAUAGGAGAAACUUCCCUUAUUGUGAUCUGAGGGAAAUGGGACCUGGUCGACUGAAGUCGGCUUGGGCAGAGGAGGAUGAAGGAUUCGAUCUUCCAUCAGGUCUUUGCCUGGAGCUCUCUUGUGGGCUGCAGAGACACGACCGAAAUGAUGGGGCUGGUUCAAGAUGGCACUCUCGGGGAACGUCUUCGAGUACCAUGGCUGGAGGUGCUUGCUCGAAGGAGGAGGAGCAGGCACGAACGGGGUUGACUCAUGAGAAUGCCUGAGUCGAGGCCGAGGGGAUGUCUGUGACGACGACGCGUGUGCGCCCAUUGAAGAAGGAUCACGGUUGAUCUGGGGGUAAGCCCGAGCUUGAGCAAGUGGUCUGAUCUUAGGAUGUCGAGGACUGCGAGCAAGUGUCUGCAAGAGAACAGGUGGAGGCCUACCCUUUACAGGGUGUGCUUGUGUGCUGAGUAGGAGAACAAGGAGGUCGUCUCUUGUGUACUCGAGUUGGCACACUGACGGCGUUACCCCGAGCAGUGAGAUGCAUAUGAGCAGUGUAUGCAAGACCUGGCCUUGGAAGAUCUUGGGUGAUGACCCACGAGCCUUAUAGUGUGUGUGAGGGUUGGAGGUCACAGGGUCUCCACCUCGAUGUGUUGAUCCUCUAGGGAUAGAGACUGGUGGUGGUGCAGGAAUGUGGGGGGUAGACUUGUGGCAACCCAUAGAAGCAAUGGCAACUUGCUUGCCCAUUGCAGAGAGGGGCUGGGCAAUCCAGCAUACCUCAGCGAUAUGACCGACAAGUGACUUGCCGGUGGCAGGGUGCAUACUGUGUGGGUUAACAGAUGUGUUACCGAUGCAAGGCACCUUGGUGGAGGUUCCACUAGAGCGAGGAGAUGGGGAGUUAGGGACUUUUAGGUCCCUGCUCACGCCAAUCCAGGUUAAGACCUGAGAGCUAGACCCGGGGUCUUUGCUCAAAAGAACGGUUGGAACAAAGUUAAAGGAACUUGUUCCCUGGGGACACUCGAGAAUGUGGGGAUAAGAAAAUCCUCGAUUCGAAUGAAUGGGUUACCCAGCAGCCAUAAGUGAUGUGUGAAUACAGAAAAUAAAAAAGAGAAACUAGUCAAACAAGUACGAUCUGACUAAAGGGCAGUAAGUCCCCAGUGGAGUGACCAAGCUAGUUAGGUGCCUCGAUCUUGCCCUCCGAAUCAUAAUGAUUGGGCGGCAUGCAUCUCGGAUUUCAGGGGAGACUCAGGACUUUUGAGAUCGCUCUCUCGGGAAUCUCGUUAGAAAACAAAGGCAGGUAUUACCAACUGAUGAGAGAGGAAUUUAAGGUGGAUUCGGGACUUACUCGGGCUGACACACAUGGGUGCCUUCUUAGAUCACAAAGAAAGCUCCCCAGUCGUAAAACUGGUUCGAAAUCGCCUCCCUUGGCUUGUAUUUUCCUGUUUUCUGCAAUCACAUAUAUAUGGCAAAUGUUAUAAGACAGGUGGGUCAACAGACAUCACCUUGUCUCUCUGGUGAAUGCACACAGGUGUGUGCAUUCAUAAUAAGAAGAGAAGAAUAAGAGGAGGAAGAUGGGGAGAGAAGAAUUUAACGAGGUGGGGAGAUCAGCAACAUGACUAAGCUAGUGGGUAAUGAGCCUGAUGUGGUAGUAAAACGAGCUCAAUAACUUAGACUAGCUCAACAUAAUUACUAUUAGACAUCAAUACCGAUACUGAAUAGCUAGACAUAAUGGUUAGUCUGUCGUGGCAAUAAAGCGAGCACGGUAAUUUAAGCACAAAAAUAUUAUGGCUAGACGACAGGACUACCAUGAUAGGCUAAUCUCAACCCCUCUUAAUCAAACGAAAGAAUAACAGAAAGAAUGAAAAUCAUAAAGAGUGAAUAAGAAGUAAGAGAAUAAGAAGAGAAGAGAAAGAAAGAAAGGAAAAGAGUGUGAGAGAAGACAGAAGGAACGAGAGAGGAGAGAGAAAGACACAGUCGACGCUAGGCAUCGCUGGUUGUGUUGGAAGGCGAAGAGAAAGAAAGACACAGUUAACGCUAGGCAUCACCGGCUGUGUUUAAGAAGAACAGAAAGAAAGACAUAGUUGGCGCUAGGCAUCGCUGGCUAUGUUGGAAGAAGAAGGGAGAGAGGGCACAAUCGGCGCGAAACUUCACGGAUUGUGCUAGAAAGAGAGGAGAGAGAAGAUGCUCGUCUUGAUGCUAGAAAGAGAGGAGAGAGAAGAUGCUAGAAAGAGAGGAGAGAGAAGAUGCUCGUCUUGAUGAGAUGAACAUGCUCACAAAAUUUGAGAGUGAUCCGACCUGGAACGAAUAAGAUAUAGGCCUCGAAAGUCAUUGCCUGUGACUAUGAAAACAGUCACCUUUAAUUGUGUUAUGGUGUAGGGUGGCCACACGGGAAUAGUGCGCGGCCUACCCCUUUUCGAUAUUUUACCCAUAACUCUGUCCUAGAGUGCCCGAUUAAACCGAAACUUGACUCAUAGGGGUUUUCGACCAUGACGGAUCCAAUUGUGGUGGUCCCAUAGCUAUUUACUGCACCAAAAAUAUAGUUCUAGUUACGGGAUCCAUUUCAGGGUGCUUGAGGCCAAUUUUUUCGAAAUUGGUUCUUUGUGUUCACUAUCUUAAACAUGUCUGACUGCAAUGAAACUUGACGGGUGGCCUUUUGGAGUGUUGAUGAAGAUCUUAACCAAUAAUGGGGCCAUUCUGAGACUGUCAAAAUUUUCACUAUUUUGUAAGCUUUAUUGACUUGCUUCCUCUUUAUUCCGCAUCAGGGACCAAGGUGCUGGAAAAAGUGUUCAAACAGUGGGUUCGAAUCCUAAGUGACCCAAAGUAUGUCAAAUAUUUGGGGUUAUUUUGUUUGGCCUGAUAUUUUGUGGGUCCGCCUGAGCCACUUGUCGUGAUGUGUGUGAGAGGUUGUUGCAUGGCUUUGUAACCUUUCAAGUGAGAUGGUCGGGCAGUUCAACCACCAUCUUAGGGUGCGUCGGGUGUCAUGCAAGAUGUGCGGCACCCGUGCGAAGCGUAUGUGAGGUGACCUUGCGGAGUGUCGAUUGCGAGAGAGGAGAUAGUGGCCCUAGAACCUCUCUUAGACUUGAGGUUGGUGGAUAGUCCACCAGUAACCAUGUGAGCAUGAGAUGUGGUGGCUUUAGAACCACCCAUACAAUUUACAACAUGGACUGACCAUUGAUGCUAGUAGAAAGGGAGUAAAGGGUUUGAAGUCCCUUUCCUCAGUUUACCUGAGCCUGAGCAUAGGUGCGAAGAACAGAGUUGCUUCGCAGAAGGAGGGUGGGAGCAAAGGUUUGAAGAACCUUUCUUCCCAAAAAUGAGCUCACGGGUGUGAGUAUCAUGACAUCCCCGACUAGGAAGUAAGAAAAGUUAGUGAACUCCAAAGACAUUUUUAGGUACGAAUUUAGCGUUAUAUAGGUUUGUGAGCGAACCGAACCAACUAUAAGGUGGUGCGUCUCUAGUGGAGUUGUCAGUUGGUCGGCCUAAAUUUUCGUCGCUUGGGCAUCGCGAAGGUUCCCAAGUCGAUAAGCCCCUCUCAAACAAUCGCAGGGCACAUGUGUGCAUGUGCGCACGUGUGCUAGGUGCAGAUAGGUACCAAUGGUGAGAGGACUUUAUGACGGCAAGGAGGGAGUCGAGCACCUACCUCACCGGUUGGGUUCGUGGGACGCACCGGGCCUUAAGCCUUCUUAGAUCAUUUCGGAAGCCCUCUGGCUAUCCUCUCAAUGCGGUUUGAAUCCGGCUUCCUCACUUCGUUGUACAACACCAGAAUUCGCACACUGAAAAUGAAUUCGCAGUUCACCUCUUAUUGUCUCCUCCUAUUAAGUAAUUCAUAGGCAGAUUGGGGGCUUCUAGCCUGAAGAAAAUAGAGAUUGAGAGUAGAUAGAGAAGAAGAAGAAAUAGAGAAGAGAAAGGAGGAAACUGACCUAAAAAUUGGGCAGCCUUCCAGCGUAACCUCUACUGAGAGGUAUUCUCAUAGACAAGAAAGAUUAUAGGCUUGAAGCCCAAGUAUCCAAAAUGAUUUUAAGAUAGCGAAGUAUGUGAGUUGAGCCCAUCCAGAAAUCACUACCCAAAGAGCCUUCUAAAGAAUUAACCGAAAAGAAGGGGUGGGGGAGAGGGCAGAGAGAGAAUGAAAACGAAAGAUGGAAGAAGAAUAGAAGAGAGAAAAGAAUACCUCUCACAACUCAGACACUUAAAGGGGGAUACGAGGAUGAUCUGAGAGUCAAACUCUCUAAAAAGCGGCCACUCAAAGACCCUAACUAAAGUGUCUAAAUCAGAGAGAAGUGAGAGAAAGAAGAGAUCAAGAUAAGAGAAAAGAAAAGGGUGAAAUAUAAAAAAUAAAAGAAAGAGAUGAGACAGAAGAGGGAGACCUCUCACAACUCUGACACAUGAAGGAAGAUAAGAGGACAUUCUGAGAGUCGAGCUUUCUAAGAAGUCACCACUAAAACACCUUAACUAAAGUGUCUGGGUUGGCGAAGAGAGAUAAAGAGAAGUGAAAAGAGAGCUUCAAAAGUUAAGAAAGAGAAAGAGAGAGUGAGAGAGAGAUAAAAUGAGAAUGAGAGUGAAAUAGAGAGAAAUGAAGUGAGAGAAGGGGAGAGAAGUUACGGACCCACUAUGAGUUUGUGCGAGGGAGAGUGAGAGAGAAUGGUACAAAAAGAGAGGGAGAGAGAAGAGUAAGAGAGGAUUUCAUGGACCCUUUGUGGGUACAUGAGAGAGAGGAGUAAGAGGGGGAGAGUGAAGUUCAUAGACCUGUUGUAGGUCUGUGAGAAAGAGGACAGAUGGGAGAGAGAGGAUAUGAUACGGGGGAGAGGGGAGGUUCACGGACCUAUUGUAGGUUUGUGAGAGAGAAGAGAAGAGAGAUGGGGGAGAGAGGAGAGAAGAGGAGAGAGAGGGAGAUGAAGGAGAGAUGAGAAAGAUAUGGGGGAGAGAGAAGAGAAAAGGAGAGAGAGAGUUGGAGAGAUGAGAGAGAGAUAGGGAAUGAAAGAGAGGAGGGGGAGUCACAGACCCGCAGCAGGUCUGUGUAAGGGGAGGAGAGGAGAGGUAAGAGAGAGAGAUGAGAGAAAAGAGAGGGAGAGAGACAUGCCCGUCGUGAGUUUUUGAGAGGGGAGAGAAGAUGGGAGACAGGGGAGAGAAGAGAGGAAAGAGAGGGAGAUAGGCACGAGCUUGCCGUGAGCCCAUGAGAGGGGAGAGGAGAGUGGAUAAAAGAGAGAGAAGGGGAAAAAAAGCAUGGGCCCACUACUGGCCCAUUAGAUGAAGAGAGAGAGGAUAGUAAAGGGGGAGAAAGAGGUGGAGAGAGAGAAUGGACUCACAGUGGGUCCGUUAGAGAGGCAGAGGAGAAGGAAGAGAGAGAAGUUAAAGAGAGUGGAGAGAGAAUGGAUCGAGUACUUAGGCCUGAGUCAGGUUCAGGUGUGCCCUUAGUGGUCUCUUGAAUGCUCUUAAAGAGGGUUUGGACUUUGGGUUGGAGGGUUAGACUCUAAGUUUGAGGGUAAAUGAACCUAGGAGGGCUAGGGUGACUGAGGUGUAUGGUUUGGUGUAGCUAGGGGUAAGGUGUGUGGUUUAGGGUAGUGUAGGGUUUAGGGUGGUGUAAGGAAAAGGCUAGGUGUAAUGUGGUCUAGGGAGUAGGGUGAAAGGAGUACGAAGUAGGGUAAUGUAGGGUGUAGGGUAAUGUAGGCUAGUCUAGAGAGUAGGAGUAGGGAGUAAGGAGUAUGGUAGUCUAAAGAGUAGGGAGUAGGGAGUUUGAGGUUUGGAAGUUGGGAGUUGGAAGUGGAAGAUGCCAUGUGUAUUCUCUCUCUUGUCAAAUGUUUCUUUCACCUCUCUCUUGGGUUUGAAAAUAAGCCACAAGCAAGAGCAAUGACUCAAAAUUUUGAUUGAUCUUCCAAAACUAGGUUACAAAUGACUAAUUCGCUUAUAUAGGCACCCACAAAACAUGGGUUGAUGCCCAAAACUCAUCAAAAUUGCUAAAAAAAUAGGCAAUUAAAUUUUAUAAAAACAAAUUAAAAAUAAGGCUAAAAUGACCAUUUUACCCCAGGACACUUUUUCGAAAAUAACCAUCUCUCUUGGAGGGGCCUCAUGCCAUUGGUAUGCCACAUGAGCUCUUUCAGACCUUUUCAAUGAUAAUUUGGACAAUCAAACACCAUAGAACUACUGCUUGCAUUAUCACGAACAUUUUGAUGCCCAUUAUUUGGCUUGCUUCGGAGUUUUGUAGUCAGACCCAAAAUCUGGCCAUGUUCAUGAACUUUUGAAUUUUCGAUCAUCGAUAUAGAACAAUUUGUCCCAUCUCAAAUCUUCUUUUUUAUUUCAAACUGAAAAGGACUUCGUGACUAUCAUUUUAGAAUAAAAAUCAUUCGAUUUGGUUGUCAUUUAAGAACUUUCCAAAUUGGGGAGGUCGCCAGAAAAUGGUAUUAUGGAGACCGGAAAACUUGGCUUCUUUAAACUCAAAAUUAAGUGUCUUUCGGUCUGCGAUCAUGCGCAAAUACUACCUUGAAAUGAAGCCCUCAAAUAUACGAUCACAACGGACCCAUAUUAUGAUCGCAAAUACUGCCUUGAAAUGAAGCCCUCAAAUAUACGAUCACAACGGACCCAUAUUUGAGACAAUCCGGUAUCGGGGCUUUAAGAUAUGGCUUCUUGCACAAUGGGAUGUUUCUCUUUAAAAAACUGCAAUACAUGAGUUAAAAACUCAAGUUCUCUCUAGAAAUUCUUUCGUCUCGGGCAUCGUCAUAAAGAGUGCCAUAUAUCAAAGCGAGCGGAUAGGAGAGCUCUUGAACAUAUCCAAAUUUUAGAGAAAUUGGCCUUAAAAUGAGAAAGUUAUAGUCAUCACAAGAUAAUCUCAAAAUUGAAUGUCACAGUUUACGGAAACUGGUACACCGAGGCUGCACCAUAAUAUUGUAAAACCCAUCCAUUUAUGGCCAGUUAGGAGCAGAAUGCUCCUGGAAGGUCCAAACGAACGGAAAAUUGGUAUCUAUGGGUCUCUAGAAUUUUCGGAUCUAAUGGUGAUGGUCUGAUAACCAUCAGAGGAAUCGAUAAUAGAGCCCAAGUUAUAAGGUCCAUUUUCAGUAUGAUAGGAUUUAGAAUUACGAACCGUGUUUCAUCCUGAUUGGCUUUAAACUUGUCAGAUUGCGACGAAACUUGGUGUCCGUAGGGCAUCCAAAGCUACCUUUCAAUGCAUUUUGAGGUCGAUCUGAUACGUUUUUCAAGUUUACCAAAAAAAAUAGGCUUAUUUCUAGAGUGCUCUUGUGGUCCGCUAGCAUUUUUGGUACAUGUGGGACCAGGUUGCGACUGGCUCCUUCUUUAUAUGCACCGGGGAUCCAAAUGAGUCAAAAAUACCCUAUAACAAUAUUGCAUAAUGCCGAUUUCAAAAGAGUAGUAUUGCAGGACUACUUAUCGUUGCUCUAAAACUACGUAUAAAAAUAAUGCAUUUCUGUAUAUUAAUUUAUAGGGUUACAAAGUAAUGUAGAAUCAAUAAUCUUCAUAAUAAUCUUCAUAAUAUGAGUACACAAAAUAGAAAAGGAAAUAUUGUGCAUAAGCAAUACUUACAACUUACUAUAACUUCACAAGUACAAUCUCCACUGUCCAAUUCGUUACAUGCCCGCAUAACACAAUUUACCAUAUAAAGUACAAAUUGUUAUUGCGGGCAUUGCCGAAAAACUACUAUAACGGAUGUGAGCAUAAGUUUCAUCAUAUAAUGUUGUAUUCUCGGUUACUUGACAUUAUCUCUUAAGACAUGUAUAGAUGCAAUAAUGGUUCAAUGGUAAGAACUGAACAUGAGAUGUUGUAUUCUUGGUUACUUGACAUUAUCUCUUAAGACAUGUAUAGCUGCAAUAAUGGUUCAAUGGUAAGAACUGAACUUGAGAUGUUGUAUUGCUAAUGUUUGGUAUAUCUCAUAUAAAUUGCUAUCUUAUAAUUACAUUUUAAGUUCCCUAACUUGUUCUCUGAAUACGCAUACAGCCAAAUGAACACAUAACACUUUAACAGUCGAUUGAUGAAAUCAAACUUAGAGCUUUUCUAAGAUGAUGGGAGCCCCAAAUUGGGGAUGAAUAGUAAGUU